UGCCUAACACAUGCAAGUUGAGCGAUUUACUUCGGUAAAGAGCGGCGGACGGGUGAGUAACGCGUGGGUAACCUACCCUGUACACACGGAUAACAUACCGAAGGGUAUGCUAAUACGGGAUAAUAUAUUUGAGAGGCAUCUCUUGAAUAUCAAAGGUGAGCCAGUACAGGAUGGACCCGCGUCUGAUUAGCUAGUUGGUAAGGUA
rnacentral:rRNA from 1 species